rnacentral:rRNA from 1 species
AGCGAACGCUGGCGGCAGGCCUAACACAUGCAAGUCGAACGAAGUCUUCGGACUUAGUGGCGGACGGGUGAGUAACACGUGGGAACGUGCCUUUAGGUUCGGAAUAACUCAGGGAAACUUGUGCUAAUACCGAAUGUGCCCUUCGGGGGAAAGAUUUAUCGCCUUUAGAGCGGCCCGCGUCUGAUUAGCUAGUUGGUGAGGUAAUGGCUCACCAAGGCUACGAUCAGUAGCUGGUCUGAGAGGAUGACCAGCCACAUUGGGACUGAGACACGGCGCAAACUCCGGCGGGGGGCAGCAGGGGGGAAUCUUGCGCAAUGGGCGAAAGCCUGACGCAGCCAUGCCGCGUGGAUGAUGAAGGUCUUAGGAUUGUAAAAUCCUUUCACCGGUGAAGAUAAUGACUGUAGCCGGAGAAGAAGCCCCGGCUAACUUCGUGCCAGCCGCCGCAGUAAGAC